rnacentral:rRNA from 1 species
UACGUAGGGUGCGAGCGUUGUCCGGAAUUAUUGGGCGUAAAGAGCUCGUAGGCGGCUUGUCGCGUCGGAUGUGAAAGCCCGGGGCUUAACUCCGGGUCUGCAUUCGAUACGGGCAGGCUAGAGUUCGGUAGGGGAGAUCGGAAUUCCUGGUGUAGCGGUGAAAUGCGCAGAUAUCAGGAGGAACACCAAAGGCGAAGGCAGUGUCCUGGGGAGUACCUGACGCUCAGGUGCGAAAGCCAGGGGAGCGAACGGG